AGUGAACGCUGGCGGUAGGCCUAACACAUGCAAGUCGAACGGCAGCACAGUAAGAGCUUGCUCUUACGGGUGGCGAGUGGCGGACGGGUGAGGAAUACAUCGGAAUCUACUUUUUCGUGGGUGAUAACGUAGGGAAACUUACGCUAAUACCGCAUACGACCUACGGGUGAAAGCAGGGGUUCUUCGGACCUUGCGCGUUUGAAUGAGCCGAUGUCGGAUUAGCUAGUUGGCGGGGUAAAGGCCCACCAAGGCGACGAUCCGUAGCUGGUCUGAGAGGAUGAUCAGCCACACUGGAACUGAGACACGGUCCAGACUCCUACGGGAGGCAGCAGUGGGGAAUAUUGGACAAUGGGCGCAAGCCUGAUCCAGCCAUACCGCGUGGGUGAAGAAGGCCUUCGGGUUGUAAAGCCCUUUUGUUGGGAAAGAAAAGCAGCAGGUUAAUACCCCGCUGUUCUGACGGUACCCAAAGAAUAAGCACCGGCUAACUUCGUG
rnacentral:rRNA from 1 species